rnacentral:misc_RNA from 1 species
GCAAACUUGGUCAUUUAGAGGAAGUAAAAGUCGUAACAAGGUUUCCGUAGGUGAACCUGCGGAAGGAUCAUUAUUGAAAAUUUUGGGGAUACUGUUGCUGGCCUCUAACAAGGCAUGUGCACGCAUCUCUAAUCUAUUCAUCCACCUGUGCACUUUUUGUAGAAGGGUCGUCAGAUUGACUUACGGGUUGAUUUGCGAAGCUUCUAUGUCUUUACAAACCAAUUAGUAUGUUUAGAAUGUGUUGUAUUGGGACUUCAUUGACCCAUUAAACUUAUACAACUUUCAGCAACGGAUCUCUUGGCUCUCCCAUCGAUGAAGAACGCAGC